GUGCUCGCUUUGGUACUACCUGUACUAAAAUUGGAAUGAUAGAGAGAUUAGCAUGAUCCCUGUGCAAAAGAUGAAAAAAAAUCUAUUCCUAAAUAUUUCAAAAAUAU
ensembl:snRNA U6 U6 spliceosomal RNA